AGCACCAAAUGUGCAGCUAGUGAGACAUUUGUUGCUAUAUAUUCAAAUUAUGUUGAAGGAUCGGUCACAGAAGCAGUGCCAGAAUGACGGAGGGAUGACUGAGACCCUUCUGAUCCUUCAGCAGAUACAGACUUCAGGAGCUCAUCAUCUGUGGGGAUGACCUGAGUCCUGCUAAUGCUGGCAACUCCUUAAUGAAUUAUUUCCAACACUUUCCAAAGAAAGUAUAUGAACUGAAUUGCAAACAAAGGCAAUACCUAAACUA